rnacentral:lncRNA from 1 species
UGCUUCACCAUAGGCAGCAUCUGCGGGAGAAACCUUGGAGCCGACAGCAGCUGCUCCGAUGAGAACAGUGAGAGCUAACCGGCGAGAUAUUGAUGCGUCGGCGGUUGUAGCUUCAUCUCGUUUCUGUGAGCGGCAGACGAUGAGUUGGUUGGGCUUGAUCGGAGCCUGGCGGGAUGAAGACGAUGAUGAUCUGCAGGCUGGGGUUGAGAGAGCAUGGAAACAUGAAGUGGCAGCCAUGGUUGUGGUGGAGAGAGGAGGCGGUGGUUUGGUGAGUGUGAUUGCAGAAAUGGAAGCCGAGGGUAAAGAGAGAUUAAGAGAAAGGAUUGGUUGGAAAUGGAUGAGAGGAAGAUGAGAUUAUUGGGUUUGGAUAAGGGUGUAUUGGCUGAAAUUGGUGCCAACUGUGAACGAGAUGAUCUUCAACUGUACUCGGAUUGUCAAGGUGGGGUACAAAGGGACAAGGGGUGUGUCAAACCCGAUUAUCUUAAUAAUAUAAUUAAAAGUCGUAGUAAUUGGUUUUUCAUGUAUUAAUUAUCUGAUUAUGUAGAUUAAUAAUCAGUAUA